rnacentral:rRNA from 1 species
CCUACGGGGGACAGCAGUGAGGAAUAUUGGUCAAUGGGCUUACGCCUGAACCAGCCAAGUCGCGUGAGGGAAGACUGCCCUAUGGGUUGUAAACCUCUUUUGUCAGGGAGCAACGCCGGCUACGUGUAGCCGGACUGAGAGUACCUGAAGAAAAAGCAUCGGCUAACUCCGUGCCAGCAGCCGCGGUAAUACGGAGGAUGCGAGCGUUAUCCGGAUUUAUUGGGUUUAAAGGGUGCGUAGGCGGAAUGCCAAGUCAGCGGUAAAAUCGCGGGGCUCAACCUCGCUCCGCCGUUGAAACUGGCGGUCUUGAGUGGGCGAGAAGUAGGCGGAAUGCGUGGUGUAGCGGUGAAAUGCAUAGAUAUCACGCAGAACUCCGAUUGCGAAGGCAGCAUACCGGCGCCCAACUGACGCUGAAGCACGAAAGCGUGGGUAUCGAACAGGAUUAGAUACCCCAGUAGUC